ensembl:lncRNA
CUAAUGUCCAGCCUGAAUCUUCCCUGGUGCAGCUUGAAGCCAUUCCUCUAGUCCAAACGUCCCUCUAGGCCUAAAAGUCCUAGGAUGUAUUGCUGCUGAACUCCAGACCUGCACCAAGUUGUCUUUUGGUUGAGAGCCAUUACUAAAGAAAAAUGCUACCAAGUGCCGCACUGCUUUAUAGGCUGACUUCGUUGCUUGCUGCAUCUCCUGAGGGGUAAACAUUAACUCCAGCCUGCAAGAAGAUGAAGCAAGAACUGAUGAGAAUGUGUUCCACCUAUAAUCAAUCACUCUUGCUUAUUUUUACGUUGAGGUGAGUACUGUGUGGUUUUUUUAUGUUAUGAUAAUGGUGUUCAGUUAAGUUAUACAUAGACAAGUCCAUCUUACAUGUAUUUGUUGGACAUAAGCAUUUCACUUCUGGAAUUUUACUCAAUGACAGUCUGGUCAUUUGAAAAUUAAGAGAGAAAUUGACUUUUAAAACAAACAAACCCUGAAGUAGCUCUGCGCAUCUAGGUAUGUGAGACUAUUGCUGUAACACUCCUGAGAGACUAUGGCAAAGGAUAUCUUAAAUGUAAGAGGAAGGUUUUUUUAGAGAGAGAAGAAAAGCACAGAAAAACCCACUGGUGGUUUCUGUUAACGUCUCGAUCCAGUGAAUUUUUCAAGUGCCAUUUAAAAUACCAGCUUCUUCAGAAUCAAGUAUGUAGGUUGCUCUGAAAUUAAUGCCUCUGAUUUAUUUCCAUGGAAAUACAAAUGUAUACAGAGAGCACAGUAGCACUAUUUGAGAGGGCAAAUUCUCAUCUUUAAAACACUGUUUUCCAACAUAGUCACCAUCAUUACCUAUGCGUUUUUUCCAGCAACAGACAAGAGCCUGCAUGCCUUGCUCUUAAAAGUCGGCACCAAUGUAGGUGACCCAUUAUUUCACAGCUGCUGUGAUGGCACUGUUGCCACGAAAAUAUUGACUAUGCUGUCCAUCUUUCAUCAGUCCAAACAGAUGGAAGUCAGAAGGCACCAAGUAUGGACUAUGAAGUCACUGGGUGUGGUAGGACAGUCCAGCCAAGACUGGCAAUGUGCUUCGCAAUCUUCAAACUGGUAUGGGUCCUGCUGUUCUUGUGUUGCAAGAGAAAGGUUGUCUUCUUCUCUGGCCUGACUCUGGAAGUUUGAGCCUUGAGCUCAUGAUGCAUCAGUCGGAGUUGAUGGCUUGUUGGGUUGCAGGAAAUCCAGAAAGAUGACCCCUUUCCUGUCCUAAAAGACAGUGUACACUGCUUUACCUGCUGAGGGCUGUGACCUGAACUUUUUCUUCAGUGGGGAAUUCACGUUUCCACUCCAUGGACUGUUGUUUUAACUCUGACUCAUAGUGGUGACAUUGUCCCAUCACCAGUAAUGAUGUGAUCACCUUCAGUCCUGUAUUGGUUCAGUAGACCCUGACAAACUUGUAUAUGAUUUUCUUUCCGUUCCUGUGUAAUUGUGGGACCCACUUGGUGCAAAAUUUGUGAUAUUCCAAUGUUGCCACCAUUACUUCCAAUGCAUUGAAGCUGAUAUUCAUCUCUAUAUGCAGUUGUCUGGUUGUAUUCUGCCAAUUUGUGUGGAUGAGCUGAUCGAGACACUCUUUGUUUCAUGGUGUGACAGCUGUGAGUGGCUAGCUGGAAUGUUGCUUGUCUUUCAGUUUGCUGUUGCCACUGCUGAAACAUACCACUCCCAAAGUGAGAGCCUGUGCUCUCACCCACUGUUUGGUCUCUGUAAGUGUUCAGCAAGUAUUGGUGAAUGUCAGUAGGUGCAGAUUUUUCCACAUGGAGGAAUUCAGUGACACACCUUUGCUUCAUAUGUACUUCCAUGUCAGACACCAUUCUGUCAGACUCCCCUCUGCUGCCGUCUGUCACGUGGCACGAAAUGUAAUGGAAUAGCUGGGGGAAGGUUCAAGCUCUACUGCUAUACCACCAUCAUCCACCUUUGAUGUCAUGGGCCAAUAAAAUGGGAGGCAUUACUUUUGAAGCAAAACUCGUAGUUCAGAACUGCUUUACUCUGCUUGUUCAACUGGCUGUUCCUGCUGUGGGAUGUGAAUGGGGGAUGUGUUCAGCAGGCAAGUGUUCAAACUGAUUGUUCAGCUAAAGGAUGAUCUUGCCAAAAGGGCUUUUUGUGUUCAGAACAAAUUGCACAAAUUGAUUCCUUUUGUAUACCUAAAGGAAUAUUGAAGCGUAUGGCGCAUCCGUAAUUGAACUUGCCGUGUAGUUACAUUGACUUUCACAGUUCACUCUGCGAUACGCAGACUGAAUUGCUUAUAUCAGGCAUGUCCAGCCUGUGGGCUGCGUGCAGACUGGCAUAGCUCACAAUGCGCCUGAGAAUGACAACCACUUCCAUUGAAUUGGACUGAAGCGUUACUUUUGCAAAAGCAAGGUCAGAUAUCCUGCUAGUUCUUUGGUUUUAUUGUUCUCCUUUCUAUACGUUUUAAUAAGAACAUUAAAAAUAAAAUCAGUUUUGUUACUUAAAUACAUGAGCUAGAGUAUAUAUAUUUAUGGGGGCAGAUCUGAAAGUAAUGCCUCCUAUUUUAUGAUGUUGGCCCGCUAUGUCAGAGGUAGGGUGUUUGUGGGAGGCGGUGGAGUCGCUGUUCCUGGCAGUGUUCAAGAGGUGUCUGGUUGAGGAGCUACGAGAUAUGGCUUAGUGGUUUGUGGUAGUAAUGGUAGUGGGAGGACAGUUGGACUAGAUGAUCUUGUAGGUCCUUCCAACCUUGUGAUUCUAUGAUUCUACAUGCCCCAAGUGUUAUCUUAUCCUUCAGUCCUUGCCUGUUUUCUCAAAUCUGGAAAUCUACUGGGAUGAGAUGCUCUGAACACCCAACCUUAGAAUAAGGUAAGGCAAGAGUCUGAAGGGUAUUUGCUGAGACCUUCUGCAUUUAAUGGCUACGUAUUCUUUGGUAAGCUAUUUUUCAUGUAAGCUGCACUUUCAGAUUUUACCAUUUAACUGCAUCUAGUUAAUAAAUAUGGGAUUUUCUUCAUUUGUGUAGUGUUUGUGGUGCUCUGAUGUGUUUUUUUUUUUCUCCCUUCUGGAGCACCAAUAAUUCACUUGACUGAACCUGUCAUAUUCUUUUGAUACACGUGACAGUCACGUGUUUUCUAAUGUGUCACUUGUCAGUGUAAGCGGUAUUUCUUUCUGAUGUAAGCCCUCUAUUGAGUAUACUUGCAGAAAUGCUUUAAAAUGCUUAUUAAAACCAAUCCUUUAUUACUUUAACUUUGAAGUAUGAAAACAAUUCUUUCUUGCCAUUUUUUUUUUUAGUUUUGCUUUCUGCAUGUCCGAUUUCCUACAUCUGUUGUUCAAGUGCAUAGAUGAGGAUUGAACUGUAUGUGUAUCUGUUUAUUUUGAUUUCUGGAACUAAUUCUGCAAUUCUGUUUCACUGAUAAAGUGGAUCUGCUGCUUAGGUGGCCUUCCAUAUCUUUGUUUCUGCAGCAACUGUGCUCUUAGUUGUUUAUAUUUUAAAGCUAAAAUCUUCCCAUUAAUUUGCUUUCCUUUGUAUGCUAAAGUAACUCUUUUAAAGAUGUAACUUCUGUGGAUUGAGAGUUAGUGAUGUAUUCCUGAUGCUGUGGCACUGACGAGAUGUGACUUAUUUGGAAACUUUCUUUUCUUUCAAGAGCUUUGUGUUGUCAUGUAGGAGCCUGCAUGUCACUUUCCUGUUUCAUCUGUCUGUUGUUGAUGAAAUCAGAACAUGUUAAACGCCUGAGAAGCAAAUUGAAAUUCAUUGACAUCAUAUGUAUUCCUUCCCACCACCCCAUACAGUAUCAAGUCACUGCAUACCAUUAUAAAUUUAUGACCUCUUCAGGACUCAGUCGUCAUUUGAUAAGAUCUGCUUUUGUCUACAGGGAAAUUACCAGUAUUUCAAUCAGUAAGGAUGAUACCCAGUGAGAAGCAUGGUAGUUAUCCUUACUAGGUCACAGACAAUUAAAAAUCAGUAAUUCUUGUUUGAUUUCCCUUGUUUUAAAAACACAAAUUUGUUCCCUAGAGCAAAGUAUGUUAGAUAUUUAUAGUUAGCAUGCCUUGUACAUAGGACAGUUAUGCUUAUAAUCCAAGUGAAACCCCUUUGAGAGAAUGUCUAUAGUAGACUCUUAAAACUGGAAACAUAAUCAAAGUGGAACAGAAAAAUACUUUGAGAGUCACUGGACAUAUGGCCUGUAUAAUUUCUUCAUGACUUGGUAUAUGUGGCUGAAGGUUUUGGGGAAGUGUGUUAAUAAAAUAAUAGAAUGAACAAAAGAAAUACUUUAAAGGGAGUUUUAAAUUCUCUUAAAAGUGCGUCUUUAGUAGACAGCCUUACGGGCAGUCACUCUGUGAAUUGUCAGCUCAAGGAUUAGUGACUCUCAGUUCAGGUAAGUUUAAAAAAAAAAAGGAAAAUGGAAAAAAGGAAAUAGGUUACAUUCUCCCUAACCUAAUAAAUGCCUAUGUACUCUGUAUAACCAGUUCUACCUCCUGAACUUUUGACUACUGAUGUCUGUGUUAGCUGUGUUUAAUGUGGGUCAAAGCCUUCAUCUGUGUUAGAUAUACUUUUACUAGGCUUUGGUGUCAUGAUUGUUGGAUGUUUUGGAUUAGGCCCUGUUGUACAUGUUGAGGUAAUAGAAGAGGAUCUUGUUUGAAAAUCCUACUUUGAUUUCCUUGUUUAGGUGUUGUGGACAUAACUGAAUAGGAACAGAAGCUUGAGGAAAAUGACUUGUCGAGAUGUAGGCAAUUAAUAUUGUGCAUCCUGAACAAUGUUAAUCCGAGACGAGUGGACCUGAGUUACUGCAGAAAAUUGUGGUCUUCUAAUCUGUUGCACUUCCCCAUCUACUCUCUUGCUUGCAGAGGCACUCUGGUAGCUAUUCAGUGAACUGGCUGAAAAUUCAUUUUCAUCAGUGUUAACCUACUAAGGAAGAAAUAUCACCUUCCAGUUGCCUCAGUGUUCUUAAUCUGGUUCACCACAUCACCAAGUGACUCUUAGUCAGAAAGGGCUGAGAGUGGGAAAAACAGGACAACGUUCCUCUGCAGCUCCCGCUUGUUCCAGACGUUAAAGUAUGCAUGGAAUUAGACUGGAACAGACAGUUUGACCCUGAAGGGCAAAGCUAGAGUUUCCAGUAUCACUUAGAUGUUUGUGUCCAAGUGCUUUUUUUAGGCAAGUGUAUCCUUUGGGGCAUUCAGACCUCAGUGUUUUAUUGUUUUUUUUUUUUCUGAUGUUCCCUUUCCAGUAGUGAGUAAUUGGAGAACUGGCUGAGAUCUUGUUAAAAUGCAGCAACACAAAACAGAGUGAGAUUCCCUACCAGUGACAGUUAACUCGCAUUUAUUUCGGUGUAGGGUGCUGUGCAGUGAUGCAGUGACUGCCUGGGGGGAGUGCCUGCAGGGGCUGUGCUGUGCUUGCUGAAUGACUUUCACCCUCAACUUGUUGACCCCAGUUAUGUCUCUAAAAUGAAAGAAUUGACUGUGUUUCACACAAGUGUAAUAGAAAAGAAUACUCGAAGACUUCAGUAAAGAAGCUACAUGUAAAACAUAAUUUAGUCCUGUGCUUCAGUGUUGAGCAAUGCUUUCCAUAACUCAUGCAAAACCAAUACGCUUAUGUAUUGUUUUUUUUCUUCCUGUGGUUGGAGUAAUGAAGAUUAUCCAAGUUAAACUGUGACCCAGUUAAUUCAUUUACCAGACUUUCAUUUUGUCUUCAAAAGAAAAAGAAUAUUUAAUCAAAACUGCAAUAUGAAGACAACUGGUAACCUGUAAAUAUUUCACUUUUAAGCUCCUAUGUUACUGGCAGCUGUUUACUCUCAGUGUUGUUGAGACUUAGUGAGAAUUUUAAGAAUUUAGAAGAGAUCAAACUAAGAUUGUAUUUUGGGAUUUAGGAGUAAGAAGGCAGCUUUUCAUUUGUGAGUACCAAGAAUUGGUGUCUUCCAAAUAUUUUGUGAUAGCAUUACUGGAAUACGUUACAAGUUUGGUACUUUGUUUACUAAAAGGCAUUGUUGUUUGUUGUUACUAUACUGCCAGCAUCUUUAACCUAUGAAGUCAGUCGAUAAACAUCCUCUAUUGCUAUAAACAUCCUCUUGACCAUCUGCCAACUAAGGCCUGAGAGAAAGAAGGAGGAAGGUAGAACCUUUUACUUAAGAGCUUCUUUUAAGGCCUAUAUCCCAUUAUGUAUGCAUUUCGCAGAGAAACAGAUGGUUUGAGAAAUCAACUUACAGGGAUAUAGCAGCAAAAAAAAAAAAAUCCCUUUGUGCCUUCUGCAGCAAGGUAUUUGUCCUAUGAAUAUAAGCAUGUUAGAAAUAUUAAUUGUAGUUAAGAUAAAUUGUUUGAAGGCUUUAGGUUGUAUUUCUCAUAUUUAAAGUUAUAUUCGUAAACUUUCUGUAGUCCACAACAUUUUAUAGGAAAAAACCUGGCUCAGGCAGUUAUAUCAGGACACUGUCAUUCUCCCAUUUCUUCCCUUUAUUUCCAGCUCUAGACACAAUUAUUGGUAAAUUAGUGAAUAUGAACAUAAUUUUAUUUGGUGGAAAAUUAAGUGUAAACACAGCACUCACAUAUCAGUAGACAUUUUCUAAGAGAGUUCCUGUACUGUUCUUGUAGUAGCUAUUUUUUGUUCAUUAUCACACAUCCCAAGUAGCCUCCCACUACUAAGCACAUGUUUUGCUGGGGUUCACAAACCUGGAGAUGGCCUGUGGCAUGUUGUGGUGGGAUGGCAUCUGAGCCUCACAGGUGGCUCUGGUGCUUCCUUUUCUGGUCCUCAUUAGGAAGGAAAAUUUCGAGAGGAUCUUUGUUCAGGACUGGUGUUUAGUAUUGGCAUCACUCCUCUGAUGGGCAUUUUUGUUGUUGUCUUUAUUUUGAAGGGGUGUUUUUUGUUAGUAACACUGAUCAUUGACAUUGAUCACUUACCUUUAAUAUUUGCAGUUACAGCUGUGUCUUUUUCCUGCAGUGAUAGUUUCUUAUGGGCAUUGAUUGUCUUCCUCUCAUGACAGUGCCUAGACAGUGAAGGUUUGAUUAGCGAGAUAAGGUUUGUUUUCUGUAACUUGUGUCACAUAAAAUGUUGUGAUGUGAGUGAGCACCUAUGGGGCUAUACUCUGGUUGUGAUGCAGUAUGUUUUUGCAGGCUCAUUGAGUGGGGUUUGCCGCACUCAUGGGGGUUAUGGUGGGCGAAGGCAAGCAUUUUCUUCCUGAGAUGUGUGCUGGUGAGAGGCAGGUGGGUUUCCAGGAGAGGCUGGUGCUUAGCAGGGUUUUUCACGUGUUGAGUCUAGAUAGGAGGGAAAGAAGCCUUGUGUUUCACUGUGCUACCCAUGCUGGGCUCUUCCCAAAUAGGGCAGUGCUAUUUUCUUAACACUUUUGCUCUGUGCAACUCUGGUGGUUGAGACCCUGCUGACGGGGAAGCCCUUUUAGGUCAGUGUAGUUCAAACUGUGUUACCCUCUAAAUGUCAUAGACGUGUAUCUUUAGGCUUGAAACUGUUCUCUUGGCAACUAAAAACCUUCCUGUUCUUUCACUGAAUCAAAACUACAGCAUAUAUUUAUUCUGUACCUGAAGGCUGAGGUGAUAUUUGGGAUGGAUGUCUAUUCUGAAUUUCAACUGCUUUUCAGUGGAGUAUACCUGUAAUGUUAUAUUCUCAGUGUUUGAACCUGGGCACCAAACUCUUCUUGUAUGUAAUUGCUGGAGAACCAUUUCUGACCUGUCUGAAAACUAGCUCAGCAGAGCAGUUUCACAUAAUGAGAAUACAUGCCACAGGUCAGGAUAUGAUAUGUUAACAGAAUGCAUCAGACUGGGCUUACUUGAUUUGUCUCCGAUCUCUGGGAUGUGAGGAGUGCAGAAUCCCAUCUUCAGUUCCUGUGACAUCAGUCACCCUAAAAAGGGAAACUGCAACAAACAGUAACUGCAUCUGUGGCGUUUCUUUCAAAUGCUUCUGCUGAUUCUCUUAGACCAGGUCAAACAAAAUCAUAACCUGACUUCAGAGUGUAUCGAUAAGUCUUGAGCUUGCUCGUGCCUGAUGAAAUCAAUAUCUUAGUUGAAGUUCAGGUAUUUUUUCCCUCUCAAAAUUGGUGAAUAGCUGGGUGGGGUAAAGAAAUAAUUGUCUGGGGUAACUACUUAAGCUCAGGGGAUGAGGUUUCUCAUUUGUGUGUCUCAGAGCUCAGCCCCCUGUCUUGGCAAUUGCCUUUAUAGUAGUGUUGGACUGGAUCUGUGUUUUCCUACCAGAAUUGAGAAUGUUGCUUCCAGGAGGCUCAGAAUGUGGCAGCGUGGCC